rnacentral:rRNA from 1 species
GACGGAGGUGGCGAGCGUUGUUCGGAAUCACUGGGCAUAAAGCGCACGUAGGCGGUGCCGUAAGUCGGAUGUGAAAUCCCUCGGCCUAACCGAGGAACUGCGUCCGAUACUGCGGUGCUUGAGGAUCAGAGGGGUGCAUGGAAUUUCCGGUGGAGCGGUGAAAUGCGUUGAUAUCGGAAGGAACUCCGGCGGCGAAAGCGAUGCACUGGCUGAUUUCUGACGCUGAGGUGCGAAAGCCAGGGGAGCAAACGGG